rnacentral:tRNA from 1 species
GCUGAGGGUGUGCUCAGUGGUCAGCACUUGCCUAGCAUGUGCGAGGUCCUGGGUUCCAUCCUCAGUCCUGCA